AUGUAUGAAUUCAAAUGCACAUAUCAGAAGAUCAAUGUCACUGAUGGCUGCUCCAUUUCAGCUCCUAACCAAAUGAAAACGAAAGAGCGGCAUUCUCCCGGAGGACGGUCUCCUGGACGGUCCAGUCGCUAUGACGACUAUGACCGAGAUGAUCGGCGUCGACGAUCCCGCAGCCGCAGCUACAACCGUUACCGCUCCCGCAGCCCCUCAUACGAACGGCAUCGCCGCCGCCGCUCGCACAGCCCCCGAGAGUACAAACAGAGGCCACGGCGACAAUCCAGGGAGCGGGAGCGGUCCCGCUCUCGGUCGCAGAGUCCCAGACCAAACCCUGCGCCUGCACCCCAUUUUGAGGAGGAGCCUCGGCACAGAUACUCGCGGUCUCACUCACGAUCAGCCUCCAGGUCCCGCUCACGAUCCCGCUCCUGGGCCGGCCGUAAAUCUGGAGGUCGUUAGAGAAAACUGGUCAUGGUCGUUUUUUUAAAAUGAAUGUAACGUCCUAUUAACCAUUUAUAGAAAGCUUGUGUUGCAGCUCACGUUUUAAGUAAAGUGCUGUUUUUGUUUUGUUUUAUACAGUUGACAGAGAAAUGGUUUGUUUUCAGUCCUAUUCUUGCAAAGUGAGUCUUUUAUUUGUUGUUCAACUUUCUAAACCCUAUGCAUCAUUUGGUAAAGAAAAUCAAUCAGUAUUUUUAACCUAACAACAGUUUGAACCACUCCAGUGUCAAGUUUUGAAACCACAUCUACAGUGCAUUUGUACUGCUGGCUGAUUUUCCAGAGCUGUUGUUUUUUUUCUUUUUGGUGGGUACAUGUUACUCAUGUUAAUCUUUACAUGUUCAUCUUUGGGUCUUGUUAAUGUCAAGGGGACUGUUCCGUUUGUUAAGAUACUUGAUUAACAAUAAAAGGAGAAGCUUAAAAACUGGCCCAAAUGUUAUGUCUCUGAAGUAUCUAAUUGAACAUGUACACUGUACUGAACCCUCUCUUUAAAAGGGAAGCAAGAACAUGUUUUGAAUAAUUUACUGUGAGAUGGAAAAGCAUUUGAGGUAUGUGGUAUGUAACAUGUUUAGUUGCUGUUAGAGUUUUGUUGUGCUGAAUCUUUGCUUCAACCAGUAACUUGCCCUCAAUAACUUCCCUGACGAUUUGUCAAUUAGACUUUAAUCAAAGCCUGUAAGAGCUGUCCCAAAGCAGGAGAUUUAACAUUGGUGUUUACAUGACUUUUUUUCAUGAUUCUAUGACCAUUCUUGUCAGUUGCAUGUUUUAGCCUCUUUCGGUAUUUACUAGAAAAUGCUUAUUAUUUUUAAUAUUAAACCCAUUUCAUUCUACCUGUCGUAUGGUUGCCUGUUUUCUUUAAAAAAAUAUAUAUAUUGAUAGUUGUGGACAGGUCCGUAAGGUGACAAAAUGAGUGGAAAGAAAGAUCAAUGUCACUGAUAGCUACGAAACGAUGCACAGACUUGAGAAUGUAAAUGUCCGACAUGGUCUCUUUGCAAUAAACAAAGUCAAAACAUUCUCAAUGAGUCUGAAUUAAAGAGGCAAUACAAAUGACUGCUGUACAGAGAAAUCUAAGCAGCACGAAAUUUAAAACAAAAAGUAAACAUUUGUAUUACAACAAGAAGGCAUUAGCUCAUACAGCCAAUUGUUUAUAAUUUUAAGGCACCUUUACAUUCUAGUGUUUUAAGAGACUUAUACAAGGAUAUCACUGUCUGACAUGAUCUUUCCA
ensembl:lncRNA